GAGCCGAGUCCCCAAACGUUUUCUCCCAAUUUCUGAGAUCUGCGCAAAACCCUAAACCCCAUUGCCGAUUUUGCUGCGAAUUCAGUCAAAAUGUCGAUGUCGAAGAGUUCUAAGAUGCUUCAAUACAUCAAUUAUCGUAUGCGUGUUACUAUCCAAGAUGGCCGUCAAUUGAUCGGUAAGUUUAUGGCAUUUGAUCGACAUAUGAAUCUUGUACUUGGCGAUUGUGAAGAGUUUCGUAAGCUUCCUCCUACUAAAGGUUCUAAGGAAGAACGUGAAGAUCGCCGUACACUUGGUCUUCUUCUUCUCAGAGGUGAAGAAGUUAUUUCCAUGACUGUUGAAGGUCCUCCACCUCCCGAUGAUUCUCGUGUUAAAGCUACUGCUGGUGGUGUUUCUGCUGUUCCUGGACCUGGGUUGGGUAGGGCUGCUGGUCGGGGUGUUCCGACUGGUCCGAUGGUUCAUGCUCAGCCGGGUCUUGCUGGUCCUGUUCGUGGGGUUGGUGGACCUGCACCGGGAAUGAUGCAGCCGCAGAUUUCUCGUCCGCCGAUUAAUUACCCGCCGCAGCCUCCUCCUCCUAUGGUUCGACCACCUGGUGGUGGACCUCCACCGCCAAUGCAAAUGCAAAUGCAAAGACCUGGUGGCCCACCUAUGCCACCGCCGCCACAGUUCAGGCCUGGCGGGCCUGGACCAUUUCCGCCUCAGUUUGGUCAGAGGCCCAUGGGACCACCACCGCCACAGAUGAUGAGAGGUCCUCCACCACCGGGGGCGCAGCCACCAAGACCGGGAAUGCCUGGUGGACCACCUC
rnacentral:misc_RNA from 1 species